AUACGUAUGUCGCAAGCGUUAUCCGGAUUUAUUGGGCGUAAAGCGCGUCUAGGCGGCUUAGUAAGUCUGAUGUGAAAAUGCGGGGCUCAACCCCGUAUUGCGUUGGAAACUGCUAAACUAGAGUACUGGAGAGGUAGGCGGGACUACAAGAGUAGAGGGGAAAUUCGUAGAUAUUUGUAGGAAUGCAGAUGGGGAAGCCAGCCUACUGGACAGAUACUGACGCUAAAGCGCGAAAGCUUGGGUAGCAAACAGGAUUAGAUACCCUGGUAGUCCACGCCGUAAACGAUGAUUACUAGGUGUUGGGGGUCGAACCUCAGCGCCCAAGCUAACGCGAUAAGUAAUCCGCCUGGGGAGUACGUACGCAAGUAUGAAACUCAAAUGAAUUGACGGGG
rnacentral:rRNA from 1 species